rnacentral:rRNA from 1 species
GAGUUUGAUCCUGGCUCAGGACGAACGCUGGCGGCGCGCCUAACACACGCAAGUCGAACGGAGCUGAGAGGAGCUUGCUUUUCUUAGCUUAGUGGCGAACGGGUGAGUAACGCGUGAGUAACCUGCCCUGGAGUGGGGGACAACAGUUGGAAACGACUGCUAAUACCGCAUAAGCCCACGGCCCGGCAUCGGGCUGCGGGAAAAGGAUUUAUUCGCUUCAGGAUGGACUCGCGUCCAAUUAGCUAGUUGGUGAGGUAACGGCCCACCAAGGCGACGAUUGGUAGCCGGACUGAGAGGUUGAACGGCCACAUUGGGACUGAGACACGGUCCAGACUCCUACGGGAGGCAGCAGUGGGGGAUAUUGCACAAUGGGGGAAACCCUGAUGCAGCGACGCCGCGUGGAGGAAGAAGGUUUUCGGAUUGUAAACUCCUGUCGUUAGGGACGAUAAUGACGGUACCUAACAAGAAAGCACCGGCUAACUACGUGCCAGCAGCCGCGGUAAAACGUAGGGUGCAAGCGUUGUCCGGAAUUACUGGGUGUAAAGGAGCGCAGGCGGACCGGCAAGUUGGAAGUGAAAACCAUGGGCUCAACCCAUGAAUUGCUUUCAAAACUGCUGGCCUUGAGUAGUGUAGAGGUAGGUGGUAUUCCCGGUGUAGCGGCGGAAUGCGUAGAUAUCGGGAGGAACACCAGUGGCGAAGGCGACCUACUGGGCACCAACUGACGCUGAGGCUCGAAAGCAUGGGUAGCAAACAGGAUUAGAUACCCUGGUAGUCCAUGCCGUAAACGAUGAUUACUAGGUGUUGGAGGAUUGACCCCUUCAGUGCCGCAGUUAACACAAUAAGUAAUCCACCUGGGGAGUACGACCGCAAGGUUGAAACUCAAAGGAAUUGACGGGGGCCCGCACAAGCAGUGGAGUAUGUGGUUUAAUUCGAAGCAACGCGAAGAACCUUACCAGGUCUUGACAUCCGAUGCAUAGCUUAGAGAUAAGUGAAGUCCUUCGGGACAUCGAGACAGGUGGUGCAUGGUUGUCGUCAGCUCGUGUCGUGAGAUGUUGGGUUAAGUCCCGCAACGAGCGCAACCCUUAUUGCCAGUUACUACGCAAGAGGACUCUGGCGAGACUGCCGUUGACAAAACGGAGGAAGGUGGGGAUGACGUCAAAUCAUCAUGCCCUUUAUGACCUGGGCUACACACGUACUACAAUGGCGUUUAACAAAGAGAAGCAAGACCGCGAGGUGGAGCAAAACUCAAAAACAACGUCUCAGUUCAGAUUGCAGGCUGCAACUCGCCUGCAUGAAGUCGGAAUUGCUAGUAAUCGCGGAUCAGCAUGCCGCGGUGAAUACGUUCCCGGGACCUUGUACACGCCGCCCGUC